rnacentral:rRNA from 1 species
AGAGUGAACGCUGGCGGCAGGCCUAACACAUGCAAGUCGAACGGCAGCACAGGGGAGCUUGCUCCCUGGGUGGCGAGUGGCGGACGGGUGAGGAAUACAUCGGGAUCUGCCUUAUCGUGGGGGAUAACGUAGGGAAACUUACGCUAAUACCGCAUACGACCUACGGGUGAAAGCGGAGGACCUUCGGGCUUCGCGCGAUAAGAUGAGCCGAUGUCGGAUUAGCUAGUUGGGCGGGGUAAAAGGCCCACCAAGGCGACGAUCCGUAGCUGGUCUGAGAGGAUGAUCAGCCACACUGGAACUGAGACACGGUCCAGACUCCUACGGGAGGCAGCGAGUGGGGAAUAUUGGACAAUGGGCGCAAGCCUGAUCCAGCCAGUGCCGCGUGGUGUCGGAAGAACGGCCUUCGGGUUGUAAAGCUACUUUUGUACCGGAAAGAAAAGCACGUGGGUUAAUACCCCGGUGUCCUAGGACGGUAACCCGGAAGAAAGUAACGACGACCGGCCUAACGUUCGUGCCCAAGC